rnacentral:rRNA from 1 species
GGUUUCUUGAAUUAAUAUUUAAAAAUAUGAAAUUUGGCCUGCCCACUGAAAUUAAUUUGAAGGGCCGCAGUAUUUUGACUGUGUGAAGGUAGCAUAAUCAUUAGUCUUUUAAUUGAAGGCUUGUAUGAAUGGUUAGACGAGGUAGAUGCUGUUUUAUAAAAAUUAUUAAGUUGAAUUUGGAUUUUAAGUAAAAAUACUUAAAUAUUUUUAAGGGACGAGAAGACCCUAUAGAGUUUAAUUAAUUGUUCUAUAAUGUAGUUAUUAAAGAAUUGUUUUAUGUUAUAUUAAUAAUUUAUUUAAUUGGGGUGCUUAGAGGAUAAAUAAAACUUCUUUAUAUGAUAAAUAUAGAUUUAUAAAUAUUAGAUCCACAGAUGUGUGAUUGAUAGAUAAAAUUACCUUAGGGAUAACAGCAUAAUUUUUUUUGAGAGUUCUUAUCAAGAAAAAAGAUUAUGACCUCGAUGUUGGAUUAAGAUAAAAUUUGGGAGGAGAUGUUCAGUAAUUUAGGUCUGUUCGACCUUUAAAAUCUUACA